rnacentral:rRNA from 1 species
AUUGAACGCUGGCGGCAUGCUUUACACAUGCAAGUCGAACGGUAACAGGCCGCAAGGUGCUGACGAGUGGCGAACGGGUGAGUAAUGCAUCGGAACGUGCCCAGUCGUGGGGGAUAACGCAGCGAAAGCUGCGCUAAUACCGCAUACGAUCUAUGGAUGAAAGCGGGGGACCGUAAGGCCUCGCGCGAUUGGAGCGGCCGAUGUCAGAUUAGGUAGUUGGUGGGGUAAAGGCUCACCAAGCCGACGAUCUGUAGCUGGUCUGAGAGGGCGACCAGCCACACUGGGACUGAGACACGGCCCAGACUCCUACGGGAGGCAGCAGUGGGGAAUUUUGGACAAUGGGCGCAAGCCUGAUCCAGCAAUGCCGCGUGCAGGGAGAAGGCCUUCGGGUUGUAAACUGCUUUUGUACGGAACGAAACGGCUCUGGUUAAUACCUGGGGCUAAUGACGGUACCGUAAGAAUAAGCACCGGCUAACUACGUGCCAGCCGCCGCUGUAAUAC